UUUAAUUCUAAUUCACCUUUAUUCAAUUAAAACUAUAGACUAAAAAAAAAUUCAAUUAACUAUAGAAAAAGAAUAUUAGAAAGGGGGAGAAUUAGGGUUACGUGUUUUGUGGCCUUUGGAAUCAAAUCUCCUUCUUCCUUCGGACCAAACGGCAGCGACGACCCUCUUCUCCGAUUCAAAUUUCACCCGGUCACCCCCGGAGAACGGCACCUUCUCACGUCUUGGCCUCACCCUCUUCGUCCGUCUCAGUCUCUCUCAAUCCCGCACUAUCGUAAACUAACCCCAAUCAACCACCUCACUCUCGCUAGUCUUCCUCUCACACUCUCCUUCAAUUCGAACCUUUCCUUCUCCGAUUUUGGAUUUCUCUUUCUUCUGCGAACUCAGCGAGGAGCCUCUUGCGACGUUGUUGUUGCUCUUGCGUGGUAUUUCAGAAGACACCGAAGAUUGAAGGUUUGUUGAUAGAAAGAUGAACGAUGUGUUGCUAUAGAGUUCAAGCUGUUGAUGAUUAGAGUUUAUGAUGAAGGAUGUGGCGAAGAUGAUGAUUGAAUUGUAUGAGAUUGAUGAUGCUUUGAAGAGUGAUUGAAGAUGAUGCUGAGAAAGAUGAAGAGCGGUUGUUGAAUGGCGACGGCGAAUAUUGACGAUUUGCAGCAAUGAUGUGAGGAUGAAGCGGUGAAUUCUGCAGGUUUGGAGAAGAAUCUUAUUAUAGAGAUUUGAAGAUUGGGGAAGGUUCUGAAUUUGAGGAGGUUUGAAGAUUAUCGAGGGCACGGUGAUGGUGAAGAAGUGAAGAGAUUGAAGAAGAUGAAUUGAAGAAUGAUGAAGAUAGGAGAAGAAUCGAGAGAGCUUUUUCUGUGAAUGAAGAUGAUAUAUAUAUAUCAGGGGCUGAUUGUGCUUAGAUAUACGCGGAUGCCGGAUUUUGGUGAAUGCCGUGGCGUUAUGCUGAAAUCCUGAAUGAGGUUUGGAAUGAGAUUGGUUGCAGGCUCGGGACUCAACUCAUAGGCACUGGCGGGAUGUGGUUUUCUUAGUUUGAAAAUAGUUAGCACGUGAAGUCAAGUUCAGCUAAACAGGGGUCCUGUUAGUUGUAAGGUAUGUAUAUGAGUUUCUGAUGUGGUUUAUUGAAUGAGUGCAGCCCGGUUUUCUUUUAUGUUGUAGAGCGCUGUCGGUUUUGAUUUGCAAUACACAGAAUUGGCUUGAAUGCUCAGAGCUGGAAGUUGGGCUCAGUUUACUUGUUGGUUUAUGCAGGGUGGUUUGGAUUUUGCAGCAAGUAUUCUCGGGUUUCCGUGAGUUGGCUUUGAAUUGGCAGCAUGCACGUCUCGAGAUUUGACCACGUUAUUGCUUGAAUGUGCAGGAGCUGCUCACUUGUGUAAUGGAGAAAUGGAGGAGACGAACCGAGGCAAGCUUUGGCGAGGGACACAACUUUGGCUUAUGUCCACUAGAAUUAGCAAAUCAUUUUGAAUUCGAAACAGGGACUGAAUGUAAUAAAACCUUUGGUAUUUUGUACCCUUUGUAAGAACCUGUCCAUAUCCCGUGUCUUUGUAGAUUGGAUGCUUCAAGACCUUGUCAGAAGUUUAUGGCUUUUUGUAAUGAAAUGUUUGAUUGUGAUUUGUAAUGGAUGUAACUUGUAAUAGACUAUCUUAUACGGAUGGUGGUUUGGUAUGUAAUUCUUUUUUGAUGAGGGAUUUUGAAAUGAAUGGAUAUUUGAAUUUAUGCUUGCAACUUUGAAUAGAAUUUUCUUAUGAGUGAAUUGUGAAUGAUACUCGAGCAGAUAUUGAACGAUGACUUGAGUCUUGUAUGAACACUCACACUGAACUCAUAAUUACGCACCGCUUUGCCAUUAGUCUUCCCACAUGUCCACAUGCACUUAAACUUGCAACAUGAGCCAAUUAAUGAAUACUUUAUGCAUACCAUGAGAGAACUUGAACAUAGCCGAUCUUAAGUCAACUUGUUGAGCCACAAGUAGCCCAAUUGAUUAAACAAAGUCGAAUCCUCAAUACAACUCCAGAAUGUAUCACGUCUUGAUUGAAAUGUCUCCUUUAACAAACGAAUUUAAUAUGACACCCUGAGGAAUCCUCUGAUG